rnacentral:rRNA from 1 species
AUUGAACGCUGGCGGCAUGCCUUACACAUGCAAGUCGAACGGUAACGCGGGGGCAACCCUGGCGACGAUUGGCGAACGGGUGAGUAAUACAUCGGAACAUAUCCAGUAGCGGGGGAUCACCCAUCGAAAGAUUGGCUAAUACCGCAUACGAUCUACUGCUGAAAGCGGGGGACCGCAAGGUCUCGCACCAUUGUAGUGGCCGAUGUCAGAUUAGCUAGUUGGUGGGGUAAAAGCCUACCGAGGAGACGAUCUGUAGCUGGUCUGAGAGGACGAUCAGCCACACUGGAACUGAGAAACGGUCCAGACUCCUACGGGAGGCAGCAGUGGGGAAUUUUGGACAAUGGGCGCAAGCCUGAUCCAGCCAUGCCGCGUGAGUGAAGAAGGCCUUCGGGUUGUAAAGCUCUUUCGGUGAAGACGAAACGGUUAGUGUUAAUAACACUGACUAAUGACGGUACUCACAGAAGAAGCACCGGCUAACUACGUGCCAGCCGCCGCCGUAA